UCUCGUCGCGCGGUAGAUAAUUUCCCGCAGUCGUCUAACAAAAGUGCGCGUAGAAGAAUUAUUGGUGCGCGCGCGCGCGCAUAAAAAAGCGCUCUGCGAGAUGUUGGGUUUCUCUGUGGCACCACGGGGAACCCCAGGUCCCACCCUUUCGAGGGUGGCGGUAAACUGAGAGCCUCUCUGGGCUUGUUGCCGGGUUUUCUCGAUCGUAGCCCUUACUGGGUGCGGCGGUGGCUGGCGAUUUACUUGAACAAAUCAGAGUGCUUAACACAGGCGUUUCGCUUGAAUGUCGUGCAUGGAAUAAUAGAAAAGGAUUUCGGUUCUAUUUUAUUGGUGUUAUAGACUGAGAUAAUGGUUAACAGAGACAAACGCGGGCAUUCGUAUCGCUGCGUGAGAGGUGAAAUUCUUGGACCGCAGCGAGACGAACUACAGCGAAAGCAUUUGCCAAGAAUGUCUUCAUUAAUCAAGAACGAAAGUCAGAGGUUCGAAGGCGAUCAGAUACCGCCCUAGUUCUGACCGUAAACGAUGCCAACUAGCGAUCCGCCGGUGGAUAUUUUGCCCUGGUGGGGAGCUUCCCGGAAACGAAAGUCUUCCGGUUCCGGGGGAAGUAUGGUUGCAAAGCUGAAACUUAAAGGAAUUGACGGAAGGGCACCACCAGGAGUGGAGCCUGCGGCUUAAUUUGACUCAACACGGGAAAACUCACCCGGCCCGGACACCGUAAGGAUUGACAGAUUGAUAGCUUUUUCAUGAUUCGGUGGAUGGUGGUGCAUGGCCGUUCUUAGUUCGUGGAGCGAUUUGUCUGGUUUAUUCCGAUAACGAGCGAGACUCUAGCCUACUAAAUAGUUCGCACAUUGUCUUUGUGUGCGUGACUUCUUAGAGGGAUUUUCGGUGUUCAGCCGCACGAGAUUGAGCAAUAACAGGUCUGUGAUGCCCUUAGAUGUCCGGGGCUGCACGCGCGCUACACUGGCAAAAUCAGCGUGCUUGUCCUUUCUCGAAAGGGAUUGGUAAACCAUUGAAAAUUUGCCGUGAUUGGGAUCGGAAAUUGCAAUUAUUUUCCGUGAACGAGGAAUCCAUGUGCACAAGUGUAUGCGA
rnacentral:rRNA from 1 species